ACAUAGAAUGUUAACAGAGGGGAAGCUGUUAAGAGGUAUAUGGGAACUCUCUGGACUAUCAUGGCAACUUUUCUGUAAAUCUAAAACUAUUCUAAAAGAAAAAGUUUAUUUAAAGAAAGAUUUCUUAUGCAGGUGGACAUAAACACAUGGAAAAAAUGCCUGGAAGGAGACAUGCUGAUGGGCCAGUAGUUCCUUCUGGGGAGUGAAGCAGACUCAUAGAGUAGCAGGAAGAGGAGAGGGUGAGACAGGAUCUGUUCAACGUCAAUGCUGUUCUCCACUGGGGCAUCCUGAAAGAUCUAUAUAAGGGGGCAACUCAUAUCCAUCUGUGAUGGCAGCAAAGUGUGGCAAGGCAAGAACCUAAUGUGCCUUCUGAGUCAUCUUUAAACUAUGCAAGGCACUCCAGGACCACUACCAAACAGGGGCUGGCAAUCAUGAGGAGUCCUGCUUUCCAGCAAGGAGAUAAGUAACUUCCGCCUUCCACUGGAGGCCAGAGAUGGCAAAGACAAAAAUCUGAAGAUAAAAAGAGGCAGAGAGCUCUACAGCUGGACACUUCUAAGAGCUUUAUUUCUUGUCCCAACUUAACCAUUAAUUACACAAUGACAACCUGGGGAUGCUUUGGAUUCUAUGCCAAGUCGUGGCUUCUAACGCCACCACCUCUCUCUCCCCUGGUUACCACACAGCAUCUCGCUGGGGGCUGGGCCCUGGUCUAGCCCUCCAUAAUGCACCCUCCACCCUACUACCAAGGCGGACUUUCCAAACCACAAACCUGACAGUGCCCAUUCUUCUGCAUUAAGUCCUUCAAAACCUCCCUGUGCCUUCCAGAGAAAAAUCCAACCUCCUUGAAA